GCCAUGAUGCUCUCCUAGUUAUAGUUUAGGGGCAAUUAAAAUGACUGCACAUUGGUGGUAGUUUAUGGAUUUGCACAAGAAGAGAGAACUCAUAGAGCUAGCAUUAUUUUACAUGUCUUUACAGAGGUGUAUUUGGCUGUUUUGUUAGACAUUC
rnacentral:snoRNA from 1 species